rnacentral:lncRNA from 1 species
AAAAAAAUAUACAAGGCAGUAAAAGUUCUUCAAAAUUGUUAAUAUUUGAUGUCAAUAAAAUGCUCAAUUAGAAAAACAAUGUUUUAUGUCCUGAGGCAGGAAGGUGAAGUUGGUCCAGUUUCCUCCAUCUUGGCCAGAAAUGGAAGCCCCCACUAGCAGAGGAUUUUAGAGGUUUACAAGAGGCAGUCUCAGGUGUCUAAUGGAGAUACACUGAAGAACUAAAAGUGGAUACCUUUGCAAAAGGAGUUUUAGUGCCUCUAAAAGCCUGCCGUCUGAGGCACUUUAUCUACUGAAUUGAACCUACAACCAAAUUACAGUCUUACGUCUCCGCAUUUUGUAUACCAAUCUUGACUUCAAGAUGAG